rnacentral:rRNA from 1 species
GCCUACGGGACGCAGCAGUGAGGAAUAUUGGUCAAUGGGCGGGAGCCUGAACCAGCCAAGUCGCGUGAGGGAAGACGGUCCUAUGGAUUGUAAACCUCUUUAGGCGGGGAGCAAUGCCGGGCACGCGUGCCCGGAGGGAGAGUACCCGCAGAGCAAGCAUCGGCUAACUCCGUGCCAGCAGCCGCGGUAAUAAGGAGGAUGCGAGCGUUAUCCGGAUUUAUUGGGUUUAAAGGGUGCGUAGGCGGAUUUUUAAGUCAGCGGUAAAAUGUCCGGGCGCAAACCGGGCCGGCAGUUGAAACUGGGGG